CUGCGCUUCCGUUCGCUUGACUGGCUGCGCUUGUUUUCAGGGUUUUGGUCUGAAAACGGAUCUUACCUGCGCAGAGCAAAAUCGGUUGUAGAUUAUAUCCACGAAAAUUCCUUCUAUUAAAAUGAAUUUCAAGUCCCACCUACCCUGGAAGCAGAAAGAGAGAGAAGAGAGAGAGUAAAGAGAAAGAGAAAAGAAAGAGAAGUUGAAAAAGAGAAAGAAAACCAAGAAAGAAAGAGAAAAAAACCGAAAAUAAAUGGACAAGAAAGAAAAACGGUGAAGGUCAACCCUGUGCUCAAUUCCAGAGACUUUCCUAGGGACAUCGUGUUGGGCAUGGAGGACUAAGGCCAGUGUGAAGAUAAGUCACCGAUUCUUUAAAAAAAAAAAGCCAGUAACUUAUAAAAAUAGCCAUAAACGACGUAGUUUUUUGUUGUUGUUGUUGUUUUGAGACAGCGUCUCCCUCUGUCCCCCAGGCGGGAGUACAGUGGCAGGCACUCAGCUCACUGUAACCUCCGCCUCCUGGGUUCAAGUGAUUCUCUUGCCCCAGCCUCCAGAGUAGCCACCACGCCCGGUCCAACUUAGUUUUUUAAUACUUUUUAAAAUUUUAAGACAGGGUCUCUGCCACCGAGGCUGAAAUGCAGUGGCGCAAUCAUAGCUCACUGCAACCUUGACUUCCUGGGGUCCUGGGCAGGUGACCCCCUGUCUCAGCCUGCCGAGUAGCUGUGAGUAAAGGCCUGUGCCUCUCCACUGUGCUAAUUUUCUACUGUUUGUUGCUUUGUUUUUAAUAGAGAUGUAGUCUGGUUUUGUUGCCCAGGCUGGUCUCCAGCUUCUAGCCUCAAGCAGUCUUCCCAUCUGCUCCUACCAAAGUGCUCGGAUUAUAGGCAUGAAUCACCUUGCAUGGG
rnacentral:lncRNA from 10 species